rnacentral:rRNA from 1 species
GAUGAACGCUGGCGGCGUGCCUAAUACAUGCAAGUCGAGCGAACAGACGAGGAGCUUGCUCCUCUGACGUUAGCGGCGGACGGGUGAGUAACACGUGGAUAACCUUCCUAUAAGACUGGGAUAACUUCGGGAAACCGGAGCUAAUACCGGAUAACAUGUUGAACCGCAUGGUUCAACAGUGAAAGACGGUCUUGCUGUCACUUAUAGAUGGAUCCGCGCCGCAUUAGCUAGUUGGUAAGGUAACGGCUUACCAAGGCAACGAUGCGUAGCCGACCUGAGAGGGUGAUCGGCCACACUGGAACUGAGACACGGUCCAGACUCCUACGGGAGGCAGCAGUAGGGAAUCUUCCGCAAUGGGCGAAAGCCUGACGGAGCAACGCCGCGUGAGUGAAGAAGGUCUUCGGAUCGUAAAACUCUGUUAUUAGGGAAGAACAAAUGUGUAAGUAACUAUGCACGUCUUGACGGUACCUAAUCAGAAAGCCACGGCUAACUACGUG